rnacentral:rRNA from 1 species
UACGUAGGGGGCUAGCGUUGUCCGGAAUCAUUGGGCGUAAAGAGCGCGUAGGCGGCCAGAUAAGUCCGGUGUGAAAGUCACAGGCUCAACCUGUGAAUGCCGCUGGAAACUGUCUGGCUAGAGUCCGGGAGGGGCGAGUGGAACUCCGAGUGUAGAGGUGAAAUUCGUAGAUAUUCGCAAGAACACCAGUGGCGAAGGCGGCUCACUGGCCCGAUACUGACGCUGAGGCACGAAAGCGUGGGGAGCAAACAGG